rnacentral:rRNA from 1 species
AGCGAACGCUGGCGGCAGGCCUAACACAUGCAAGUCGAACGGACCCUUCGGGGCUAGUGGCGGACGGGUGAGUAACACGUGGGAACGUGCCUUUAGGUUCGGAAUAGCUCCUGGAAACGGGUGGUAAUGCCGAAUGUGCCCUUCGGGGGAAAGAUUUAUCGCCUUUAGAGCGGCCCGCGUCUGAUUAGCUAGUUGGUGAGGUAAUGGCUCACCAAGGCGACGAUCAGUAGCUGGUCUGAGAGGAUGACCAGCCACAUUGGGACUGAGACACGGCCCAAACUCCUACGGGAGGCAGCAGUGGGGAAUCUUGCGCAAUGGGCGAAAGCCUGACGCAGCCAUGCCGCGUGGAUGAUGAAGGUCUUAGGAUUGUAAAAUCCUUUCACCGGUGAAGAUAAUGACUGUAGCCGGAGAAGAAGCCCCGGCUAACUUCGUGCCAGCCGCCGCAGUAAGAC